ensembl:lncRNA
GGUUUUUCAAAGCUGCAGAUACUGUAGAUGCUGAAAUACAUGGAAAAAAAAGGAUUUUUGUUGGCAGAACAUGGGAGGGCAGUGAUUAAUCUCAGGAAGAGAGGGGCAGAUGUCAGACAUUCUGCAGCAUUCAACACAAGUGAACAGCAUUUAGAAAAACAAGAUGCUUAUGUUGCCCCAGGAGAGCUCAUCUUUCAAGAAAAUAUGUUCUUGAAAGAAUUAAGAACUGCUGUGAUCUAUCAUUGCAAACAGAAAAACAUCAGAAAGAGAUGAAGGAAAAUACUGUCAGUGGCACACACAUCGCUUUAAUGUGUUUCCAUCAAAGCAGCAUAUGAAGAACUAGAAUUGCUGUUAAACUUUCAGAGAAGUCUUUCUUCAAUAUGAUUGGUAACUGUAUGUACUGUAUGAAUCCUCAGAAGUGAUCGGCAGUGUUUACACCACUUGUAAUAUAUUCUCUGCAUAUCUCCUCAUUUGUGCCCAAAGGAAUUUCAGAACACAGAAGCUUGUAUUAUUGUCAAACACUUUGCUUUACCUGGGUAUAAACUCUUAGAUUUCCCUGCUGAACUGGGUGCCUGGGAAUUACUACCGAGGAGGUUUUGAGCUUUAAUAGUGAGUCCCUUGGGAUGUGGGUGUACGACCACGGUACAAACACAGUAGCUAGUGGCUACAGGAACAGACCAUGAUUCUUGAUGAUCCUUUAAUGUAUACUCUUUCCAGCAUUUGCUUAAUUAAUGUACAAAUAGAGACUCUGUUUUUGAAAACUUGAAAGCCUACAGAUUGACAAAUAUUUUUUUCACAUCUCUAAAUCUAUAAAGGAUUUAUGUUUGAUGUUUAGGCUGAGGUCAGUGUCAAACUAGUCAGAUGUCCAGUUUAAUCCCUGGGAGCUCACUUGGUGAAAGGCUUCAGAAAGGCCAGUUAGCGUGUCUAGCCAGAAGUCUUGUUCACCUUCUGCCAUCCCCUCUGCCUUGCAGGGACCUCUAGCGUUCUGUGUUGCGCAGAAAAGAUUGGCCCUGAUGCUGACUGUAGAACAGGCCUCUGGCUCUCACAUCUUUCUGUCAUGACCUAAAUAUCACAGAGGAGGCCUAAUGGUCAAAAGAAUCACUCACUGGUGAAGAUUUGCAUCUCAUUUCAAGAAGCUGCCUGUAGUUUCACCAUCACAUCUGCUCUCCUACUAAGCCACCAGAUUUGAAACUCUGCUUUGUCUAUGCCCCUCUUCCACCACAGUAAAUCCCAACAUUAGAUUGAAGUGGCAAAGUCUGUCUAUCCAGUUGUAAAUUCAACAAGACCAUUUCAUUUGGAGAGCUGUAGCCAUGAAGACAAGCUUGGUCAGGUCUGGGAAGCAGCUAUGACAUCACUGGUCAUGUAACGGCCUGGGCUUUGCAGAGCUACUCUGUGCACAUUCCUUUUUACAGGCACAGUCUGCAUAAGACCUAUGCAGCUCAAAAGUGGAAAAAGCAAUUAAUCUUGUCCUUGGUAAGUUCUCAUCUGGGAACAGACAGAUGAAAGUUUCCAGGUGGUGAAAAAAAGUUCCUCUCUCUCCUCCCAAAGCAUUGCACUGACAUUGGUCACAACUUAAGCAGAGAAGCAAGCAAUGCAGCAAGAGCCACCCUUGCAUCUGGGGACAGUUAUUAUGAUCUAAUUGGUUAAAUAAUGCUGGCCUCUUUUGAAUGUCUUUGAAGAUACUUUUAAUUAUAUAAUGCAAAGAAACAUCUUUUAUGCCUUAUUAAGAAGCAUGAACUAGUCGUUGCUGUUAUGAGUAUUUUUUUAACUGAUGAAAGAAAAUGAAUGUAAAAUAAAAGGAUAAUGAAA